rnacentral:rRNA from 1 species
CCCUUAGAUGUCCGGGGCUGCACGCGCGCUACACUGAAGGAAUCAGCGUGCUAAAACCAUUGUCGAAAGGCAUUGGUAAACCCAUUAAAAUCCUACGUGAUUGGGAUCGGGAAUUGCAAUUAUUUCCCUUGAACGAGGAAUUCCCAGUAAGUGUGGGUCAUAAGCUCGCGUUGAUUACGUCCCUGCCCUUUGUACACACCGCCCGUCGCUGCCCGGGACUGAGCCGUUUCGAGUAAAGCGGGGACUGCUGCUGUCGGGGCUUUCGGGCCUUGGCUUCGGUGGAAACCGCUUUAAUCGCAGUGGCUUGAACCGGGCAAAAGUCGUAACA